rnacentral:rRNA from 1 species
AGCGAACGCUGGCGGCAGGCCUAACACAUGCAAGUCGAACGAACCUUUCGGGGUUAGUGGCGGACGGGUGAGUAACACGUGGGAACGUGCCUUUAGGUUCGGAAUAACUCAGGGAAACUUGUGCUAAUACCGAAUGUGCCCUUCGGGGGAAAGAUUAAUCGCCUUUAGAGCGGCCCGCGUCUGAUUAGCUAGUUGGUUGAGGUAAUGGCUCACCAAGGCGACGAUCAGUAGCUGGUCUGAGAGGAUGAUCAGCCACAUUGGGACUGAGACACGGCCCAAAAUCCUACGGGAGGGAGGAGUGGGGGAUCUUGCGGAAUGGGCGAAAGCCUGACGCAGCCAUGCCGCGUGAAUGAUGAAGGUCUUAGGAUUGUAAAAUUCUUUCACCGGGGACGAUAAUGACGGUACCCGGAGAAGAAGCCCCGGCUAACUUCGUG